rnacentral:rRNA from 1 species
UACGGGGGGGGCAAGCGUUGUUCGGAAUUACUGGGCGUAAAGGGCGCGUAGGCGGGAUGGCAAGUCGGUCGUGAAAUCCCUCGGCUUAACCGGGGAACUGCGUCCGAUACUGGAGGGCUUGAGUGUGGGAGAGGGAUGCGGAAUUCCAGGUGUAGCGGUGAAAUGCGUAGAUAUCUGGAGGAACACCGGUGGCGAAGGCGGCAUCCUGGACCGACAUUGACGCUGAUGAGCGAAAGCUAGGGGAGCAAACGGG